rnacentral:lncRNA from 1 species
CCUGUCUCCGAACUGGCUCCCGGCCUAACUAUCAUCCUCGGCGGUCAUUUCUGUCGGCCCAUCUCGACUCCUUCCGUCUUCUGUCCGCAGCGCUGCUUCCGUGGUGAUCAAGAGGAGCGUGGUUACCUCAUUUCAGAGCUACUUUGUUGGUUGAGAGGCCUCUCGGUUGUACUCAAGCAUCUCUUCGGAGCUUCUAUCUCUCCGAGGCCUUCAAUCCAUUGCGGCUAAUUCCGGUACGUUCUCAGUUAGAUUAUCGGUCUAUAUUAUGAUGGCCCGCCGCACCUGUUUGAUAAAAUGUGUGGCUGAGGUAUUUUGGCACAGUGGACUGUUCAUGAAAUUAAGCUAAUUCUGCUCCCCUCAGGUUUGCCGCAGGACGCUUAGUAAUUAAAUUGGUUCACCGCCCUCUUUCAUUCAUUUAGUGCUGCUUAGCAAUGCCAUAGUUGCGCUUCUUUUGCCUUUGAUAUUUUUUUUGCCUGUUGCCGCAAGGUUCACAUUGAGCAUUUUUGCCUAUACUAUAUUUUUUUGGGGAGGUCCUAUUUGUGUGAUUGAUUUUUGGGGAUUUUCCCGGCUUCUCUCUUCUCAGCCAAUUAUUAGGUGGCAGUGAUGCAGAGGCGACAAAGAAAACUCAUUUUUAUGUCUCGUGUCGCAACAAAAUUAUCGUUUAUCAAGUUAGAAGUGUUUAGGGUGCAUUUGAGAGACUACCGGCUGUCUUAUAUAUUUAACUUUUUGCUCUUAAUGCUUACUGGUGUGUACAUUGAAAAUCUGAAAGUAGAUCUUUUUAGUUGUAAGCUGUUACAGAGGAGUCUGCAUUUGAGAGACUCCCGGCUGUCUUAUAUAUUUAACUUUUUACUCUUAAUGCUUAGUGAUGUGUACAUUGAAAAUCUGAAAGAGGAUCAUUUUACUUGUAAGCUGUUACAGAAGGGUAAAUAUCUGUUAUCUGCCAGUAUAAAAUGAUUUUUCCCUCUCUCUGAAAAUUCAGUUUAACUACUGCAUCGGACUCUAAUAUACUAGACAAUGACAUGAUGGUUGUUUCGUAAUUGAUAUGUUUUUAUUAUAAAUUGGAUGCAUGUGUAUGAAACAUACACUGCAAAUAUCAAUAAUUGUAAGUCUAUGUCAUUACCAAGGUGACAUAAGAGUCGGAGCAUUAUAUGCUUGGUUCCAGAGUUUGAGGCAGUGAAUUUUGUAAGCCCAAGGUUUUUCUCCUGUUUUUGAUAGUGAGUAUGGAAGAGCGGAUGUAACUGCACAGCGCUUUUUCCUCAUGAAUGAGUCUUCAGAAUUGUGUAAACUCUAGUGUAGCUCUUGUGUUGUUUUGAAGACUGGCGAAAAUCAGAGAAGAAUUUUUCUUGGGUGUCUCAUCGCACUGUGUUGUGUAUGCAGUAGCAUGUUUCAGUAUGGUUUCAGAAUACUCGUUUGGUUCGUUGGCACCUGGAAAAAAUCAUAUGUGAAACAAUAUUAUGUGCUUUCUGCCUCAGCUAUGACCUAGGUGUCCCUUUUUUUUUCUUGGUUAAAGUGCAGGCUGCAUUGGUUAAUGAUCUCAUCUUCAUCAGUUCCUCUUAGGGUCUGCAGGAGCAAGCUUAUAAUAUGCAUAAAGAUUAUAUGUCUGUUAUAAUCCUUCCGUACAGAUAAAGUAAAUGUGGUUAUUAGAUUACCCUGAUCUGAUCAUAUUGCAUAUUUUAAAAUUCUAGUAUCUCCAGGGAAAAUUUCCUGUGUGGCAUUUUAUUUUAUUUUGUAUCCCAUUAUAUGUAUUUGAGUUAAUUUACAGUUGAAAAUUAUUCUUUGUAUACGUGACUGAUCCAGGGAGGCAAAUGGUUGAACCGCGCCAGUUCUACAUCUAACUCAGAUUCCCCUGCUGCGAGAGAAGCUGUCUUGGUGAGCUCCUGGCUAUUGUUUACAUGCUUUUAUUACUCUGCUUAGAUAUAUGUUGUGCUAAUGCUUGCAUGAUAAUGAAUCAUUGAGGUAGGAGAUCUGGUCAAAGAUCAAGAGUGAAUGCGUAAGUCAAUUCCUUCUAUUUCAAAAUGUUAAUUUUGUUUGAUUCUUUUCACUACCCACCAAAUUUGCUUUAUAAUCUUAUAUAUUAUAUAACUACAAAAUGCAGAACUUAUAUUAUUAUGAAAUGUCUUGUGUUUAUAUUAUAAUAUAGUUUCAGUUUUCUAAAAUUAUAAAAUAAUAAUUUAUUUGGUUUUUGUUAAUAUUUGUCUAAAAACUGAAGUAAUAAUUAAGGUUUAGACUAUGCAAGGAGCUGUAUGUUUAAUAGUAGCAGUUCUGCUAUAUUAUGAUAAUUUAUUUUUCAUUUGUAGAAUUUGGAGCGUGGAAGGUUAUAUUCAUUGGAGGAGCAAAUUGAACAUAAGGUACAAUUUAUAUUUUCUUAUUAAGGAGAGAUAUUUAUUCCCCAUGACAGGAAACUUUUGUAUAUUCAGUUACAUGGAAACUUACAAGGGGCCAAUUUUUUAAUCACAACUAGACAUUCGAUGUUUGUGCUACUUUUUGGUGCUAAUAUGAUUCGCCUAAUAAUUUUAAAGGAAAAGACAUUUUUAUAGAUACAGAAUGACAAGGGAGUCUGGACUGAGAAUUUCAAAAACUAGAAAUUGGAUGUAGGCAAAUGAUGCCAUAUACUGACUUGCAAGCUCAUCCGCUCUUAUAGAGUCAGCCUUGCUUAUUGGCUCAUAGUUUGAUUUCAUUAUUUGCAGUUUACCUGUUCAAAUUGAUUUUAUUAUUUAGAUGUCUCCAACAGUUUAAAAGUUAACGUUUUUGCUUUUUGAUUGCCUUUAUCUUGCCAGUUGGAUUUCAUCAAGCAGGAACUUAACAACAUUGAAGUCCCUAUAGUACUGG